CACGUAGUUAGCCGUGGCUUCCUCCUCAGGUACCGUCAUUAUCGUCCCUGAAGACAGAGCUUUACAAUCCGAAGACCGUCAUCACUCACGCGGCGUUGCUGCAUCAGGGUUUCCCCCAUUGUGCAAUAUUCCCCACUGCUGCCUCCCGUAGGAGUCUGAGCCGUGUCUCAGUCCCAAUGUGGCCGAUCACCCUCUCAGGUCGGCUACGCAUCGUCGCCUUGGUGAGCCGUUACCUCACCAACUAGCUAAUGCGACGCGGGUCCAUCUCAUAGCGGAUUACUCCUUUAAUUGCUAUGCCAUGCGGCACUACAAUCUUAUGCGGUAUUAAUCUUCCUUUCGAAAGGCUAUUCCCCGUCUAUGAGGCAGGUUACCCACGUGUUACUCACCCGUCCGCCGCUAAUCCAUUCCCGAAGGAACUUCAUCGCUCGACUUGCAUGUGUUAAGCACGCCGCCAGCGUGUCCUGUGCGACGAGUCAACUAC
rnacentral:rRNA from 1 species